AAAUUGUUUCGAGUUCAUGAAUUAGAUCUUUUACAGUAUCGAUAAAGUUACAGUGACGAGCACCGUGACAAUUUCAGAAGAGAAUCGACAUGAAAUCAUUGAUGAUUAAAGUGAUCAACAGUGUCCAUCAUUCCGUUUGGGAUCUGAAAUAGCUCCAUUUUGUAGAAGAGGACCUUGUUCUCUCGAUCUAACAAAUGUCUGAAGGAGAGACAAAGAUAAUGAACUCCCU
rnacentral:lncRNA from 1 species